rnacentral:rRNA from 14 species
UGGCUAGACGGGAAGACCCCGUGCACCUUUACUACACAUAUUCAUUGUAAAGAAACAUUUUCUACGUAGAAUAGGUGAGAGCAAAAAAUGUCUUGAUUUAGGUCAAUAGCAUUUAGCGCCAAUGAAAUAUCACUUUGAAAUUGUUUUUUUACUAAAUAAAAUUUUAUGAUAGUGUAUAUUUGGUAGUUUGACUGGGGCGGUUGCCUCC